ACACGACUACAUUAGAUACCCCCGUAGUCCUAGCCGUAAACGAUACUCGCUAGGUGUCGGCCACGGUGCGACCGUUGUCGGUGCCGUAGGGAAGCCGUGAAGCGAGCCACCUGGGAAGUACGGCCGCAAGGCCUGAAACUUUAAAGGAAUUUGGCGGGGGAGCACCACAACGGGUGAGCUUGCGGUUUAAUUGGAUUCAACGCCGGAAAUCUUACCGGGACCGACAGCAACAUGAAGGCCAGGCUGAAGACUUUGCCGGAUUAGCUG
rnacentral:rRNA from 1 species